rnacentral:rRNA from 1 species
UACGGGGGGAGCAAGCGUUGUUCGGAUUUACUGGGCGUAAAGGGCGCGUAGGCGGCCAGCACAAGUCAGUUGUGAAAUCUCCGAGCUUAACUCGGAAAGGUCAACUGAUACUGUGCGGCUAGAGUGCAGAAGGGGCAACUGGAAUUCUUGGUGUAGCGGUGAAAUGCGUAGAUAUCAAGAGGAACACCUGCGGCGAAGGCGGGUUGCUGGGGCUGACACUGACGCUUGAGGCGCGAAAAGCUAGGGGGAGCGAACGGGG